rnacentral:lncRNA from 1 species
AUGAGACCCCCCCUGGGCCUGCUGCUGCUGAUGGGAUUGGCUGCUGCAGAGGGAGAUUGCAGCUCCUGCCUGCCGGGCCCUGGACCAAUCGCAGCGCUCGUGGCCGCUGACGUCAUCAUGACGCUGCUCAUCGCGGGCGGGGCCUACUGCCUGGGGGGGCGGGGCCGGAGAGGUGAGGCCAAGCCCCGCCCCCCGGAGGUGGAGCCGACCUAUCAGGAGCUGCAGGGACCACGUGGGGACGUGUACAGCGAGCUCAAGAGAUAGCCCCGCCCCCUGCCCCGCCCCCUGCCCCUCCCCCUCCUCCCCAGCCCCUCCCCCCAAUAAAACUGUUGGUUUUUGGCCUUAAUUUGCCUCAAUUCGCUGUUUUUCUCCCCAUUUCCGCUUCGGGAGGGGUGGGCCGCCUGCGCGUGACGUCAUCUGCGCGCGCCGGAAGUCGGUCCCACUUAGCCCCACCCACGUCUUCCC